UUUCCCAGUGGUGAUGGUGAUGUAUCCUCAGGUCCCGUUUAUUUCGGAAACCUAAGUCGGAUUUGUGGUUACAUAUUCCCUCAGAUGGUUGUGAUCAAUUCAGAGGCUGUAACUCAGUGCAGCAGAUGUUCAGAUGACUUGGAGGAUGGCACAAUGCAUUGCAUUCAUACAUCAACAUCAUUUACAUUUCGCAUUUAUUUGCAUCUAACACAUGUUUAUCCAUAUGCAGGGGACAUUCUUG
rnacentral:lncRNA from 1 species